CACACACACACACACACACACACAAACUCUUUUUCUCGCUCUUUUUAUCUCCAACACAGCACAAACACAUACACAUACACAGGGUAUUUAGGUUUUUGCUCGUAUUUUUUUGUAAAGAACGCAUGUUAUUGCUGUCCUAGCUAUCCUAAAAAUAUAUUUGUAUUUAAUUACAUUUUAAUUUUAAGUCAGUUUAGUAGUAUUUUACUAGUAGGCCUAUAAAGCUAGAUAUGAAGUGUGUUGUAAAGUGGUUUCUUCUAACAACAUGAUGUGUGUACUUUCUUCUUUAGUUCUUUUAAGUUACUUUUGAUAUUUUGUUGCUAAGCAAUUAUGAUUAUGUAUCAGAUUAUAUGCAUCAAAACAUCUGUCAAACACAUACCAAAUUAAUCAAAACUUAACUGAAUAAAAUAGAAAAAUGAGCAGAAAUCAUCAAUAUGAUUAUUUUCAGAGCUGUCACAUUUCAGGAGCAGGAAUACCUGCAAAAUGUACAUUUCCUCUAUAAUAUAUUUUCAAAAGUUGGAUAAAUCUCAUUAAGUCCAAGAUCUGUAGCCUUUAUUUCAGAAUUUAGAAACUCAGAAGACCAUGUACACCGAGAAAAACAACAACCUUACCAAUCUUAAAGGCUAGAAUAGGGUUUUUCUUCAGCUCUGUCCUUGAUCUGCUAAUCAAUUUCAUUGAUUUCAACAUGAAUGACAGCCUUGGUUCAGACCGAAGUACAAAUAAUGACCCCAAGGAUUUUAAAAAUGCACAUAGACUUUGUAGUAUUUUUUACUUUAGGUAGGCUAUCAUCUGGUUUCAUUUAAAAUGAGAUUAUCUUAAACGCGGCUGUAGUUUUGUGCCGCUGCUCACAGUGCCAGAAAUUAUUCUCCUCACUACCCUCUUCAGUCGAAGGGGGGUGCAUUUUUGAUGGCUUCUAGGUGGAUAUGGACAUCGAGGUGAGCGCGCGCGCACGCACCAUAGGUAAACCUUUGCGCAUUCACGCGGAAUUCAACCAAAAUAAUACUUUUAAAUAAGCAAGCGAACAAGACAAAAGCAUAAGUAGGCUAUUUAAAAUGUUUCAUAUUAACGUUAAAUGUUUACAUGUAACAGUUAACAGGACGCAAAGGUUUCUUAAACGACCGACGAGCAAGCAUAUCGUGAAAAUGUCUCUUAAAUAUUUUAUCAAAUAUAUCGUCCUUAAUAAAUUACGUUCUAUAGUGCGGUAGCGACACACAAGUUAAAUGUUCCACAUGUCAGGAUGCAUGUUUUACUUGCGUGCCUACUCCUCCCUCCAGCUCAACAGAGCUUGCGCGGGCUCGCCCACGUGUGCGCGCUGCAGGGUGACAGCGGAAGACAGAGGUUGUGCCUGCAGCACGCACUACUUUAGAAGCAUAGGAAUGAGCGAAUUCACAGCAAAUGUUUUUCUUUCUCCAAACUGAAAUUCGUAUCAGCCCGUUUCCACAGAAAUGUGAGCGCCCGUGGAAGUGUCAGGUACACGGGCAUUCUCAAGAGUGCAGCUUGUGCCCUAUUUUUAUCCUUCAGCUUAUGUGCGUCAUGAAUCCAAUGCAUGGUGGUGACACUUCGCGUUGAUUUCGAGGUUCGCCUACUAAUGCUCUCCUGCAGAGGGCCCAUUUCUCCUUGAAGUGCUUAGACCGCUGUGCUACACACUCAAGCUCAGACGUACAGCAGUAUGUUUGGAACGUGAAACAAGUGGCCUGCUCUCCUUCAGAAACCUGCAGUGUUGGUUGCUGCUGGAUGCAUUAUGUGCCGCUGUAGGGAGUGUCUCUGUACCGCGGAAACUCUUCUCAGGAAGUGGCGUAUGGGUUAGUUACAUGUGCAGUCCACUCUUCAUACACUCCCUCUACUGGUGUCCACUCUGUCACUCUUCUGGUCAGUAUUAUAUGGCUGUUACCUUACAGAACGCGAGGGAGGGGGAAUGAGAGAAUGUUUGUGUAGGCAACAAUUGGUUGAAUGUGAAAUGAUCUAAUUUUUGACAUCUUGAACUGUUUAUUUGACCUUCCGUACAUUGAAAUGAUUUAUUUUUUUGACUCUCACAUCAUUU